CUAACCGGUUGUCACCUUUUAUAACAAGUAUGCAUCCACUGAAGUUGGUUAAUAUUGAGUUGUAAGAAAUUUUGAUUGGGGUCACGCAAAAUCAAGUGAGCCAUGGAGACAUAAGAUUUUUUGGAAUGGGUUUGACCUUUUGCAAACAUCACUCAUUUAAAAAAAAUAUAUAUGUAGAGUAUUUGUGUGAUGCUAGGGUAUGGACAAAUUAGUAAAAUACGUGUGCAAAUUUUGUUCAUUGGCCAAUUAACACUAAUGUGGUGAUGGCGUUGACUUUAAAGGGGUAAUUUUUAGUUUUUUUUUUUUUUUUUUUCCUUUUUUGGUAUGGUUGGUGAUAUAAUGUAUUCUGUAUAUGUGAUUGCAGAGACUUGAAGUCUUAUCUUUCAGAUCUUAGCCUUUUUUCUGGCUUGUGAAAGUAAGAAACCGUAUAGCCUGGUGGACAAUCAGCCAUGGUUGAGAGAUCUGGGCUCAAGACGAGCUCAGCUAUGGCAAUUGAUGGUUACCAAGUCAAGGUUAUCUCCUUUUGCCAACACUAAAGCACGAAGGGACAGAAAGGAAGAACAGGAUUCUUGUUGUAGACCAAACACUAGUAAAUCAGACAAGCUCAAGAAAUGGUUCUCGUUGAUUGACGCGGUAACGUUGUCACAUAAGAGGGUUCUGCUACCUGUUAAACAACUUUGUGAGUCUUCUCUUGUUAGCAACGAGUUGCAUAGGACACUGUAUGGCUUUAUCCUAUUUGAAGUUUCGUGGAACAAUGUCCGAGCAUCAACUACUUGAAUGAGCUUCAGGGAAGGCACUGCUUGCAAAAACACUAGCUCAAUUUGUGAAUGUGCCCUUUGUCAUCGCUGAUGCAACCAGUUUGACACAGGCAGGUUAUUUUAGAGAAGAUCUUGAAUCAAUCUUGUACAAAUUACUUGCGGAUGAUCGAUUUUUGUAACAAGAUACUUGUCCAUUUAAUUUAUGAAGAAGGGAGAUGCUUAUAAAAACAAUUAUCAAGAAGAGGGGUUACUGACGAGAUAUUGCCUCCUUUACUUGAGAUGAAAAUUUUACUGCGGUACAGAGUGUGUGUAUCCAAUUUAUAUGACCCACUGAUCUGAACGUUUGAUCCAAAAGAAAAUUGUUUGUAUAGGAAGAACAGAAAAUUGUAAGCAGCCUGGUUGAGUACUCAAAGAAAAUUGUAAACAGAAAAUUGACAAAGCUGGGACGACAAUGAGAUAUACUCUAUCAAUUCUCUAAAUUUUCAUCCUGCAAGAUUCUGUAUUGCCAUUUGAUCUCUUUGUGCAUCACACUUUUCCAACUGUGGGGUAAGAUGGUGCUUUUAAUUUCUGGGACAAGGACAGUAAACAGAGACUCAAGUGCUGUUAUGUCACGAAGUGCUGCUGCAAGAUGGGUAGAGGAAAGAUUAAGAUCAAGAUGAUCGAGAACGUACUACUAAUUGUCAAGUCACCUUCUGCAAGCGGAGAAAUGAACUCUUGAAGAAAGCUUGUGCUGUUGCUUGCUUGGUAUGACAACAAGGCUUGUGCUGUUACUUGUGCGGUUAGCUUGUGCUGUUACUUGUUUGGUAUGACACCAAGGCUUCCGAAGUGUAACUGUUAGUAGCAUUAUCUUUCAAUAAUCGUGAGCCAUGACUGGAUACAAAACAGAGGUGGCUGUGAUUAUAUAACGUGAACUUGUAUUUUUUAUAUAGAAUGUUUGAGUACCUUUCUUUUUUAAUCAAAGACAAUAGUCGCCGGAAA